rnacentral:rRNA from 1 species
UCACAUCUGUCCUCCGUCGUUGUCCUCUGUCUUCUGAUGGAGGGGAGCGGCAGACGGGAGAGUAACACGUGGGAACGUACCCUUUGGUUCGGAACAACCCAGGGAAACUUGGGCUAAUACCGGAUAAGCCCUUACGGGGAAAGAUUUAUCGCCGAAGGAUCGGCCCGCGUCUGAUUAGCUUGUUGGUGGGGUAACGGCCCACCAAGGCGACGAUCAGUAGCUGGUCUGAGAGGAUGAUCAGCCUCACUGGGACUGAGACACGGCCCAGACUCCUACGGGAGGCAGCAGUGGGGAAUAUUGGACAAUGGGCGCAAGCCUGAUCCAGCCAUGCCGCGUGGGUGAUGAAGGCCCUAGGGUUGUAAAGCCCUUUCGGCGGGGAAGAUAAUGACGGUACCCGCUGAAGAAGCCCCGGCUAACUUCGUGCCAGCAGCCGCGGUAAUACGAAGGGGGCUAGCGUUGCUCGG